rnacentral:lncRNA from 1 species
AAUCCCUCUUAUUCUUUUUUCUUUUCCCCUCUUUUUGCUUGCAGAGAAUGUCACCAUGAAUGUCCAUUGGCAAACUGGAUAAGAAAGAGUGUCACAGUGCAGGACAACCUAGAAGAUGACAGAUACUCGCAGGUCUUCUAUUAUGCAGCAAUAUUAGCAAGUAUCCACUCUGGACUGCAGCAACAUCUGAAUUUUCAGUUCUUGAGAACUUUCCUGCAUCUUCACAAAAAAUGAACAGAGGAUAUUUAUAAGAACAAUCUUCCAAUUAGCCCCCCUCAACAGCCUGUGCCUGGAGCCUUGUCCAUUUUAAUAUAUGCAGCAAAAAGUGCAAACUGAAGCUUAUUCAUCUUUAUUUUCUGA